UACGAAGGGGGCGAGCGUUGUUCGGAUUUACUGGGCGUAAAGGGCGCGCAGGCGGUCUUGAAAGUCAGGCCUGAAAGCCCCGGGCUUAACCUGGGAAUUGCGCUUGAUACUCUGAGACUGGAGUACGGGAGAGGAGAGUGGAAUUCCCAGUGUAGAGGUGAAAUUCGUAGAUAUUGGGAAGAACACCAGUGGCGAAGGCGGCUCUCUGGACCGUAACUGACGCUGAGGCGCGAAAGCGUGGGGAGCAAACAGG
rnacentral:rRNA from 1 species